rnacentral:rRNA from 1 species
GCAAGUCGAGGGGUAACAGGGGAGCUUGCUCCCGCUGACGACCGGCGCACGGGUGAGUAACGCGUAUGCAACCUGCCCUUUACUGGGGAAUAGCUUCGAGAAAUCGAAAUUAAUACCCCAUAAUAUCUAUUUAAGACAUCUUUUAUAGAUUAAAGUUUCGACGGUAAAGGAUGGGCAUGCGUGCCAUUAGUUUGUUGGUGAGGUAACGGCUCACCAAGACAGCGAUGGCUAGGGGGUCUAAAAGGAUGAUC